UGCGGAGGACAUUAAAGAAAUAAUCUCAAAGGCCCAAGGAAAGGAGAGGGGGUUGUAGCUGGCCUUUUAUCGGCACGUGCACGCUCUCUUUCUCGACCUAGGCCUUAUGGGCGCGGGGCGACCCGCGUCUUCAUAAGCCCCUUCGUGUAGAAAGUCUAUGAAUGUUUUUACUAUCAUCGAGUCGCGACUUCUAGGAGACGCGGUUCUUUGAGACAAAAGUUUAUUACAACUUUCAGCAAUGGAUCUCUUGGCUCUCGCAUCGAUGAAGAACGCAGCGAAUCGCGAUAUGUAAUGUGAAUUGCAGAUCUACAGUGAAUCAUCGAAUCUUUGAACGCACCUUGCGCUUAUCGGUGUUCCGAUGAGCAUGCCUGUUUGAGCGUCUUUAAAUUCUCAACCCCUCUCGAUUCGUUUCGAGAGGGAGCUUGGAUUGUGGAGGCUGCCGGAGACCUGUUUUUCAGGACUCGGGCUCCUCUGAAAUGUAUUGGCUUGCGGUCGACUUUCGACCAUGCAUGACAAGGCCUUUGGCGUGAUAAUGAUCGCCGCUCGCCGAAGUGCAUGAAUGAAUGGUCUCGUGCCUCUAAUCAGUCGACGCCUUUUCGAAGGCUGUCUUCCUUAUCGACGUUUGACCUCAAAUCAGGUAGGACUACCCGCUGAACUUAAGCAUAUCAUA
rnacentral:rRNA from 1 species